GGCGUCAUAGCUCAGUUGGGAGAGCAGCAGACUAAAGAGGUUCAGUGUUAUCUGAAUGUUCGGCGUUAUCUGAAGGUCUGGUGUUCAAGCCACCGUGAUGCCA